AAGUCGAACGGAGGCCCUAGCUUGCUAGGUGUCCUUAGUGGCGCACGGGUGAGUAACACGUGGGAACAUACCUCAUAGUACGGAAUAACUGCGGGAAACUGUAGCUAAUACCGUAUAUUCCAGCAAUGGGAAAGAUUUAUCGCUAUGAGAUUGGCCCGCGCAAGAUUAGUUUGUUGGUAAGGUAAUGGCUUACCAAGGCUGCGAUCUUUAGCUGGUUUGAGAGGAUGAUCAGCCACACUGGGACUGAGACACGGCCCAGACUCCUACGGGAGGCAGCAGUAGGGAAUAUUGGACAAUGGGGGCAACCCUGAUCCAGCAAUGCAGCGUGAGUGACGAAGGCCUUAGGGUUGUAAAACUCUUUCAUCGGUGAGGAUAAUGACAGUAGCCGAAGAAGAAGGACCGGCUAAUUCCGUGCCAGCAGCCGCGGUAAUACGGAAGGUCCUAGCGUUGUUCGGAAUUACUGGGCGUAAAGCGCAUGUAGGCGGAACAGAAAGUUAGAAGUGAAAUCCCUGGGCUCAACCUAGGAAUUGCUUUUAAAACUUCUGUUCUGGAAUUCAGGAGAGGAAAAUGGAAUAUCCAGUGUAGAGGUGAAAUUCGUAGAUAUUGGAUGGAACACCAGUGGCGAAGGCGAUUUUCUGGACUGAUAUUGACGCUGAGAUGCGAAGGCAUGGGUAGCAAACGGGAUUAGAUACCCCGGUAGUCCAUGCAGUAAACGAUGGGUGCUAGUCGUCGGACUUAUGUUCGGUGUCGUAGCUAACGCGUUAAGCACCCCGCCUGGGGAGUACGGUCGCAAGAUUAAAACUCAAAUAAAUUGACGGGGACCCGCACAAGCAGUGGAGCAUGUGGUUUAAUUCGACGCAACGCGAAGAACCUUACCAGCG
rnacentral:rRNA from 1 species